rnacentral:ncRNA from 1 species
CAAAGGCUUGGUCCUGACUUUACUAUCAGCUCUAGCUAAACUUACACAUGCAAGUAUCCGCACCCCUGUGAGAAUGCCCCCCAGUCUCCCGCCCGGAAACAAGGAGCCGGUAUCAGGCACGGUCUACACCAGCCCAUGACACCUUGCUUAGCCACACCCUCAAGGGAUAUCAGCAGUGAUAAACAUUAAGCCAUGAGUGAAAACUUGACUUAGUUAAAGCUUAGAGGGCCGGUAAAACUCGUGCCAGCCACCGCGGUUAUACGAGAGGCCCAAGUUGACAGACAACGGCGUAAAGAGUGGUUAGGGAAACUUUCAAACUAAAGCCGAACAUCCUCAAAGCUGUUUAACGCUUCCGAGUUAAGAAGCCCCACUACGAAAGUGGCUUUACCUCACCUGACCCCACGAAAGCUGUGGAACAAACUGGGAUUAGAUACCCCACUAUGCUCAGCCCUAAAAUUUGAUAGGCCUCUACGCCCCUAUCCGCCCGGGUACUACGAGCAUUAGCUUGAAACCCAAAGGACUUGGCGGUGCUUCACAUCCGUCUAGAGGAGCCUGUUCUAGAACCGAUAACCCCCGUUAAACCUCACCCUCCCUUGUUAAUACCGCCUAUAUACCGCCGUCGUCAGCCUACCCUGUGAAGGCCCAGAAGUGAGCAAGAUUGGUAAAACCCAAAACGUCAGGUCGAGGUGUAGUGUAUGGAAGGGGAAGAAAUGGGCUACAUUUCCUAACCCAGGAAAUACGAAUAAUGAACUGAAAUAAGCAUUAGAAGGUGGAUUUAGCAGUAAGCAGAAAAACAGAGUGUUUCGCUGAAGAUAUGGCAAUAAAGCACGCACACAUCGCCCGU